rnacentral:pre_miRNA from 1 species
CGUGCAUCAGUGGGGUCCCUUGGCCUGGCCUGUGGCAUUGUACUGAAUCUGGCUCUACAACAUCCCCUGAGGGGUCUAGGAUUGUGAGAGGGCACAGGCCAGGCCGAGGGACCCCACUGGUGCAUG